UCAGCCAUCACAUAUGAACUAUCUUCUUCUUCUUAUAUUCUCUUCUCUGUUCCCCUUUGUUUUGGGUUUCAAGUUACAGAGAAUGGAGAGCAAAUUGA